AAUGUUUUGUUCUAACAUCCUACUUCAAGCUAUUCUUAGGCAGGGAAAGUGCUGACUGACUAUCACAUUUUGAUUUUAUAUAUCAACUAGAGAGCCUUUUACACUUAAAUCCAUGGAAAUUCUGCUAGUUAUUCUGAGAAGAUUUGAAUAUACACCUACAUAGGUUCUCCCAACACAGCCAUAGGCCAGGAAAUGGAACUUUGCAUUUGAACUUUCUCUCACCAAAAAUAUACAAAUUGCAUGUUACCAUAUUAGCAAUUUAAUACUAAUUAUAAGGGUUAUCUUUUCCGGUCUUUAUUUUGAAAGCAAUAGCUGGAAUACUUUGUUCUUUGAACUUGCAAACUAUUUUUAUUUUCAUUUAAACCUGGUUUAUGCUUUGGUGUUAAGAUUUUGUUUUUAUUAAUCUAGAUUAGAGUGACAUCUUUCACCCUAGUUUCUUUCAAUUCUGGGUAUUUAACAGACCAAGGGAAAAUUUGUUCAUUGUAUUACUGAAAAUAUAUAAGUAAUAACAUUUCUCAUAUAUGAUUCGUUAUAUAGAUAAACAUAGUGUCUUGUGUACAUAUUAUGUGCUGUGUAGCAGUGGGUGUCUGUGAUAUUAAAUUUUAGUAUUCUCAGUAUUAUAGGAGAUAUAUAUAUAUAUAUAUAUCUAUGAGGACUCAGCAAUAUUUACAUUUCAGGGAAUUUUAGGAAACUAAAAAGUGAUGCUAAAGGAAAAAAACAUUAAUAAACAAUUUGAGAGUGACUCAGGAAGGUAGCAAAUCCUAAAGUCGAUUUAAUUUGCUUGGGGCUAUUGAAUUAGUAUGCUCUCUAUGAAAAUUAGAGUAAAUGUGGAAGCCAUCUGUCAUUACCUCUAGGAGAAGAAAAAGGCACUGUCACCUUCUAGAUAGUAAACCUAAAUAUAAUACAGGUCUCAAAACAUGAAAGAACAUCUAAGGAAACCCAUUUCAAAGUUGUUGAAAGACAAAGUCUGACCUUGGUCAGUUUCCUACAAUUAUUAUUUUAAAACUAAACAUUAGUUGUCUGAACUUGGCUGUUGCAGCGGAGGUCAGUUAAUUAACUGCUAACCAUUAAAUAACAACAACAGCAACAACAAAAAGUCAUUAUGUCCAUGGUCAAGUUUGUUUGUGUCAGUCAAUUGCUUGUUUGCAGAUUUGGAUUAAAGUUUGAUUUUUCUGUGAAUUCAUGGAAUGAAAAGUGAGUCUUACAUUUGUUCUGAAAUGCUUGUUUUCUUGAUUAUUGGAAGAAGACGAUAUUUCUGUUUUUUUUUUUAAAAACCAGACUAUGACUUGGCUUCUGUGUAGCCUGAGAUUUCCAAAGUUUUUCAUUUAAACAGACUACCUCAUUCAAUCCUUUACAUGUAUACACAUAGAUUCAUAAACAGCAUUCUUUUGUCUUUAAAGUGGAUGCUAUCCAUGGACAUAAAUUGGAAGAUAUGCCAAGCCUUUUAUGUUUCAGGGUCAUAUCUGAAUACAGUUUUACUGUAAGAACUGUAGCUUUCCCAGUAAUUCUUUGCUUUAUUUUUCUUGUCAAGGGUUUUUAAUAAAGAUAGGAUGUUGGGGCAGUAUUUAUUUAACAUUUUCUUCGUUGUCUGCUUUGCAUUGACAUGGGACUUUCAACACAAAUCCAGAUUCCCUCACUCCUGACAGGCACUCAUGAUGUCUGGCUCAGAGACAUUCAGGAAUUAUUUCAUGUGAAGAAACUAUGCUUUGGAAGUGUUUGUGCUAUGGUAGAUUAACAAUUCCUAUAAAACCAAGUGCCUCAUUUUAUAACAUUUCAAACAGAAAGUGACAUGAUUAGAUGACCAAGUCAUAAAAUAUGGAAGCUAGUUUGGAUUUAUAACUUAUUUCUUUCUGGUUUACAAAUGUUAGAAAAUUAUAGCUUAAUUACUAAUAUAUUAAUGAGAGAUGAGACUAUCACCUUGUAGUAUAGACUAUAAGUAUUUGAGUUAUGUAGCUAAUAUUUGUUAAGAUGUUCCUUGCAGUUAAUUUCAAAUAUAAUUAUUGUCAAAAAUGUGCAUGGUUAUAAAUUGUUUUACUUUUAGAAAAAUACGUUUAGUAAACAUUAUGAUGAAAUAAACUUAAUUUUU
rnacentral:lncRNA from 1 species